rnacentral:rRNA from 1 species
GUCGCACCUACCGAUUGGAUGGUCCGGUGAGGCCUCGAGACUGCUAUCAGGUUCCUUUAUUGGGGCUUGACAGCGGGAACUUGUCCAAACCUUAUCAUCUAGAGGAAGGUG